rnacentral:rRNA from 1 species
UACGGAGGGUGCAAGCGUUAUCCGGAUUUACUGGGUUUAAAGGGUGUGUGGGCGGGCUUUUAAGUCAGUGGUGAAAUCUCCGGGCUCAACCUCGGAAUUGCCUUCGAUACUGGGUAUCUUGAGUUCGGGAGAGGUGAGUGGAAUGCCGAGUGUAGAGGUGAAAUUCGUAGAUAUUCGGCGGAACACCAGUGGCGAAGGCGGCUCACUGGCCCGAUACUGACGCUGAGGCACGAAAGCGUGGGGAGCAAACAGG